rnacentral:rRNA from 1 species
UACGUAGGGUGCAAGCGUUCAUCGGAAUUCCUGGGCGUAAAGCGUGCGCAGGCGGUUAUGUAAGACCGGUGUGAAAUCCCAGGGCUUAACCUUGGAACUGCAUUUGUGACUGCAUAGCUAGAGUACGGUAGAGGGGGAUGGAAUUCCGCGUGUAGCAGUGAAAUGCGUAGAUAUGCGGAGGAACACCGAUGGCGAAGGCAAUCCCCUGGACCUGUACUGACGCUCAUGCACGAAAGCGUGGGGAGCAAACAGG